GUGAAUCAUCAAAUUUUUGAACGCAAAUUGCACUCUCCGGUUUUCCGGGAGAGUAUGCCUGUUUGAGGGUUAGCCUAAAAAAAGUCGACAUUGUUGCUGUUAUUUAAUGGUGACUUUCGUCGGAGAUUGGGUUAUCUUAAACCUUUUUUUUUUUUUUUGUUUAAGCGACUUAAAAUUUUUUUUCACGAUUCCAUGAACGUUUCUAAGAUUUUUAUUUCUUUUACGUUUAAUGUUUAUUGGUCUUUUAUUAUACGUUACCGUCGCAUUGGUUCGCGU
rnacentral:misc_RNA from 1 species